AAAACUUUUAACAACGGAUCUCUUGGUUCUGGCAUCGAUGAAAAACGCAGCGAAAUGCGAUAAGUAAUGUGAAUUGCAGAAUUCAGUGAAUCAUCGAAUCUUUGAACGCACAUUGCGCCCGCCAGCAUUCUGGCGGGCAUGCCUGUUCGAGCGUC
rnacentral:rRNA from 1 species